ensembl:ncRNA lncRNA:CR44664 long non-coding RNA:CR44664
CCCGCAGCUUUUCAUAGCGAACUUUUUGCCCAGUGUAGUGGUGGAUUCCUGUUCCGGUUGCUCUGCUCCGCUCUGCUUCAGCUCAAGGGAUCGGGUUCUGUGGGCUUAUUCAAUUUCGCAAUCGCCGCCUCUGGAGUCGAGCCACCUCCUGACCACCCCCUCCAAUGAGGUGCACUCCCCCUUUAGCCCCUUUAGCCCCUUCAGCCGCAUAGAGCUGCUGGUGCCUCCGGCCAUGUCCUGGCCUGUCUUCCCAAUUGACUGCCGCGCCACUUCCGUUUCGUUGACGAUGGCGAUGCAAUGGCGAUGCGAUGGCGAUGGCGAUGGCGUUGGUAGCACCAAAACCAGUCAAGCGUUCGCCUGCUGGAUGCACAGGAGCAACAUCAGCAGCAGCAGCAACAAAACUGUUGUCGUUGUCGACGUUGUGCAGCAAAUGCAAUAA